UAUUGGACAAUGGGCGAAAGCCUGAUCCAGCAAUGCCGCGUGAGUGAUGAAGGCCUUAGGGUUGUAAAGCUCUUUUACCCGGGAUGAUAAUGACAGUACCGGGAGAAUAAGCUCCGGCUAACUCCGUGCCAGCAGCCGCGGUAAUACGGAGGGAGCUAGCGUUGUUCGGAAUUACUGUGCGUAAAGCGCACGUAGGCGGCUUUGUAAGUUAGAGGUGAAAGCCUGGAGCUCAACUCCAGAAUUGCCUUUGAUACUGCAUCGCUUGAAUCCAGGAGAGGUGAGUGGAAUUCCGAGUGUAGAGGUGAAAUUCGUAGAUAUUCGGAAGCAACACCAGUGGCGAAGGCGGCUCACUGGACGGUAUUGACGCUGAGGUGCGAAA
rnacentral:rRNA from 1 species